rnacentral:rRNA from 1 species
GCGGCCCCUGGACAAGACUGACGCUCAGGUGCGAAGCGUGGGGAGCAAACAGGAUUAGAUACCUGGUAGUCCACGCCGUAAACGAUGUCGACUUGGAGGUUGUGCCCUUGAGGCGUGGCUUCCGGAGCUAACGCGUUAAGUCGACCGCCUGGGGAGUACGGCCGCAAGGUUAAAACUCAAAUGAAUUGACGGGGGCCCGCACAAGCGGUGGAGCAUGUGGUUUAAUUCGAUGCAACGCGAAGAACCUUACCUACUCUUGACAUCCAGAGAACUUUCCAGAGAUGGAAGGGUGCCUUCGGGAACUCUGAGACAGGUGCUGCAUGGCUGUCGUCAGCUCGUGUUGUGAAAUGUUGGGUUAAGUCCCGCAACGAGCGCAACCCUUAUCCUUUGUUGCCAGCGGUUCGGCCGGGAACUCAAAGGAGACUGCCAGUGAUAAACUGGAGGAAGGUGGGGAUGACGUCAAGUCAUCAUGGCCCUUACGAGUAGGGCUACACACGUGCUACAAUGGCAUAUACAAAGAGAAGCGACCUCGCGAGAGCAAGCGGACCUCAUAAAGUAUGUCGUAGUCCGGAUCGGAGUCUGCAACUCGACUCCGUGAAGUCGGAAUCGCUAGUAAUCGUAGAUCAGAAUGCUACGGUGAAUACGUUCCUGGGCCUUGUACACACCGCCCGUCACACCAUGGGAGUGGGUUGCAAAAGAAGUAGGUAGCUUAACCUUCGGGAGGGCGCUUACCACUUUGUGAUUCAUGACUGGGGUGAAGUCGUAACAAGGUAACCA